rnacentral:rRNA from 1 species
GACGAACGCUGGCGGCGUGCUUAACACAUGCAAGUCGAACGGAAAGGCCCUGCUUUUGUGGGGUGCUCGAGUGGCGAACGGGUGAGUAACACGUGAGUAACCUGCCCUUGACUUUGGGAUAACUUCAGGAAACUGGGGCUAAUACCGGAUAGGAGCUCCUGCUGCAUGGUGGGGGUUGGAAAGUUUCGGCGGUUGGGGAUGGACUCGCGGCUUAUCAGCUUGUUGGUGGGGUAGUGGCUUACCAAGGCUUUGACGGGUAGCCGGCCUGAGAGGGUGGCCGGCCACGUUGGGACUGAGAUACGGCCCAGACUUCUACGGGAGGCAGCAGUGGGGAAUCUUGCGCAAUGGGCGGACGCCUGAUGCAGCAACGCCGCGUGCGGGAUGACGGCCUUCGGGUUGUAAACCGCUUUCGCCUGUGACGAAGCGUGAGUGACGGUAAUGGGUAAAGAAGCACCGGCUAACUACGU